CUCGUGUCGUGAGAUGUUGGGUUAAGUCCCGCAACGAGCGCAACCCCUAUUGUUAGUUGCCAUCAUUCAGUUGGGCACUCUAGCGAGACUGCCGGUAAUAAACCGGAGGAAGGUGGGGAGUGACGUCAAAUCAUCAUGCCCCUUAUGGCCUGGGCUACACACGUGCUACAAUGGCAGGUACAGAGGGCUGCGAAGCCGCGAGGUGGAGCGAAUCCCAGAAAACCUGUCUCAGUCCGGAUUGAAGUCUGCAACUCGACUUCAUGAAGGCGGAAUCGCUAGUAACCGCGAAUCAGCAGGUCGCGGUGAAUACGUUCCCGGGCCGUU
rnacentral:rRNA from 1 species